CUGCGAUUUCUGCGACGUACCACUGUAUGAAAAAGUUACAUCUGUCCACACAGAAAAUUGCAUCUCAACAAAUCUGUCAUUGGUACCUGAACUACAUUUCAGUCACUCAGUAAAGUGAUAAUUCAAAAUAUCAUUGUCAACAGAGCUGAAGAAAUUGUCAGUCUUUAGACCGUUUUCGUCAGACGAGAGACGCAGUUCUGACUGAUUACUGUUUGCUGUACAUAUCUAUCCACAUGAAGGCUGUUGAGAGAGACUCGUGAAGAUUCAAGACAGCUCUUAGAGGAUUUGGAGUUUAAAAGUGAAAUAAUUAUG